rnacentral:rRNA from 1 species
CCUACGGGGGGCAGCAGUGGGGGAUAUUGCACAAUGGGGGAAACCCUGAUGCAGCGACGCCGCGUGGGUGAAGAAGCGCCUCGGCGCGUAAAGCCCUGUCAGCAGGGAAGAAAAUGACGGUACCUGAAGAAGACGCCCCGGCUAACUACGUGCCAGCAGCCGCGGUAAUACGUAGGGGGCACGCGUUAUCCGGAUUUACUGGGGGUAAGGGGGGCGUAGGCGGCGGUGCAAGUCAGGAGUGAAAGCCCGGGGCCCAACCCCGGGACUGCAUUUGGAACUGGGUGGCGAGAGUGCAGGAGGGGCAAGGGGAAUUCCUGGUGUAGGGGUGAAAUGCGGAGAUAGCAGGAGGAACACCAGUGGCGAAGGCGGCCGGCUGGACUGCAACUGACGUUGAGGCCCGAAAGCGUGGGGAGCAAACAGGAUUAGAUACCCUUGUAGUC